GACGAACGCUGGCGGCGUGCUUAACACAUGCAAGUCGAACGAAGAGCGACGGAAGCUUGCUUCUAUCAAUCUUAGUGGCGAACGGGUGAGUAACGCGUAAUCAACCUGCCCUUCAGAGGGGGACAACAGUUGGAAACGACUGCUAAUACCGCAUACGAUCUAAUCUCGGCAUCGAGGAUAGAUGAAAGGUGGCCUCUACAUGUAAGCUAUCACUGAAGGAGGGGAUUGCGUCUGAUUAGCUAGUUGGAGGGGUAACGGCCCACCAAGGCGAUGAUCAGUAGCCGGUCUGAGAGGAUGAACGGCCACAUUGGGACUGAGACACGGCCCAGACUCCUACGGGAGGCAGCAGUGGGGAAUCUUCCGCAAUGGACGAAAGUCUGACGGAGCAACGCCGCGUGAGUGAUGACGGCCUUCGGGUUGUAAAGCUCUGUUAAUCGGGACGAAAGGCCUUCUUGCGAACAGUUAGAAGGAUUGACGGACCGAAUAGAAAGCCACG
rnacentral:rRNA from 1 species